GACGAACGCUGGCGGCGUGCUUAACACAUGCAAGUCGAACGGUGAAGCGCCUUCCUUUUUGGUGGGUGUGGAUGAGUGGCGAACGGGUGAGUAACACGUGAGUAACCUGCCCCCUUCUUCUGGAUAACCGCAUGAAAGUGUGGCUAAUACGGGAUAUUCUGGGUCUGUCGCAUGAUGGGUCUGGGAAAGAUAUUGUUUCGGUGGGGGAUGGGCUCGCGGCCUAUCAGCUUGUUGGUGGGGUGAUGGCCCACCAAGGCGGUGACGGGUAGCCGGCCUGAGAGGGUGGACGGUCACACUGGGACUGAGACACGGCCCAGACUCCGACGGGAGGCAGCAGUGGGGAAUAUUGCACAAUGGGCGCAAGCCUGAUGCAGCGACGCCGCGUGAGGGAUGGAGGCCUUCGGGUUGUGAACCUCUUUCGCCAGUGAAGCAGGCCUGCCUCGUUUGUGGGUGGGUUGACGGUAGCUGGAUAAGAAGCGCCGGCUAACUACGUG
rnacentral:rRNA from 1 species